GAUGAACGCUGGCGGCGUGCCUAAUACAUGCAAGUCGAGCGAACAGACGAGGAGCUUGCUCCUCUGACGUUAGCGGCGGACGGGUGAGUAACACGUGGAUAACCUACCUAUAAGACUGGGAUAACUUCGGGAAACCGGAGCUAAUACCGGAUAAUAUAUUGAACCGCAUGGUUCAAUAGUGAAAGACGGUUUUGCUGUCACUUAUAGAUGGAUCCGCGCCGCAUUAGCUAGUUGGUAAGGUAACGGCUUACCAAGGCAACGAUGCGUAGCCGACCUGAGAGGGUGAGCGGCCACACUGGAACUGAGACACGGUCCAGACUCAUACGGGAGGCAGCAGUGGGGAAUCUUCGGCAAUGGGCGAAAGCCUGACGGAGCAACGCCGCGUGGGAGAUGAAGGUCUUCGGAUCGUAAAACUCUGUUAUUAGGGAAGAACAAAUGGGUAAGUAACUAUGCACGUCUUGACGGUACCUAAUCAGAAAGCCACGGCUAACUACGGG
rnacentral:rRNA from 1 species